rnacentral:rRNA from 1 species
UGUGAACUCGAAGAGUAGGGCGGGACACGUGGUAUCCUGUCUGAAUAUGGGGGGACCAUCCUCCAAGGCUAAAUACUCCUGACUGACCGAUAGUGAACCAGUACCGUGAGGGAAAGGCGAAAAGAACCCCGGCGAGGGGAGUGAAAAAGAACCUGAAACCGUGUACGUACAAGCAGUGGGAGCACCUUCGGGUGUGACUGCGUACCUUUUGUAUAAUGGGUCAGCGACUUAUAUUCUGUAGCAAGGUUAACCGUAUAGGGGAGCCGCAGGGAAACCGAGUCUUAACUGGGCGUUAAGUUGCAGGGUAUAGACCCGAAACCCGGUGAUCUAGCCAUGGGCAGGUUGAAGGUUGGGUAACACUAACUGGAGGACCGAACCGACUAAUGUUGAAAAAUUAGCGGAUGACUUGUGGCUGGGGGUGAAAGGCCAAUCAAACCGGGAGAUAGCUGGUUCUCCCCGAAAGCUAUUUAGGUAGCGCCUCGUGAAUUCAUCUUCGGGGGUAGAGCACUGUUUCGGCUAGGGGGUCAUCCCGACUUACCAACCCGAUGCAAACUACGAAUACCGAAGAAUGUUAUCACGGGAGACACACGGCGGGUGCUAACGUCCGUCGUGAAGAGGGAAACAACCCAGACCGCCAGCUAAGGUCCCAAAGUCAUGGUUAAGUGGGAAACGAUGUGGGAAGGCACAGACAGCCAGGAUGUUGGCUUAGAAGCAGCCAUCAUUUAAAGAAAGCGUAAUAGCUCACUGGUCGAGUCGGCCUGCGCGGAAGAUGUAACGGGGCUAAACCAUGCACCGAAGCUGCGGCAGCGACACUAUGUGUUGUUGGGUAGGGGAGCGUUCUGUAAGCCUGCGAAGGUGACCUGUGAGGGUUGCUGGAGGUAUCAGAAGUGCGAAUGCUGACAUAAGUAACGAUAAAGCGGGUGAAAAGCCCGCUCGCCGGAAGACCAAGGGUUCCUGUCCAACGUUAAUCGGGGCAGGGUGAGUCGACCCCUAAGGCGAGGCCGAAAGGCGUAGUCGAUGGGAAACAGGUUAAUAUUCCUGUACUUGGUGUUACUGCGAAGGGGGGACGGAGAAGGCUAUGUUAGCCGGGCGACGGUUGUCCCGGUUUAAGCAUGUAGGCUGGUUGANNNNNNNNNNNNNNNNNNNNNNNNNNNNNNNNNNNNNNNNNNNNNNNNNNNNNNNNNNNNNNNNNNNNNNNNNNNNNNNNNNNNNNNNNNNNNNNNNCCAGGCAAAUCCGGAUAAUCAAGGCUGAGGUGUGAUGACGAGGCACUACGGUGCUGAAGUAACAAAUGCCCUGCUUCCAGGAAAAGCCUCUAAGCAUCAGGUAACAUCAAAUCGUACCCCAAACCGACACAGGUGGUCAGGUAGAGAAUACCAAGGCGCUUGAGAGAACUCGGGUGAAGGAACUAGGCAAAAUGGUGCCGUAACUUCGGGAGAAGGCACGCUGGUGUGUAGGUGAAGUCCCUGCGGAUGGAGCUGAGACCAGUCGAAGAUACCAGCUGGCUGCAACUGUUUAUUAAAAACACAGCACUGUGCAAACACGAAAGUGGACGUAUACGGUGUGACGCCUGCCCGGUGCCGGAAGGUUAAUUGAUGGGGUUAUCCGUAAGGAGAAGCUCUUGAUCGAAGCCCCGGUAAACGGCGGCCGUAACUAUAACGGUCCUAAGGUAGCGAAAUUCCUUGUCGGGUAAGUUCCGACCUGCACGAAUGGCGUAAUGAUGGCCAGGCUGUCUCCACCCGAGACUCAGUGAAAUUGAACUCGCUGUGAAGAUGCAGUGUACCCGCGGCAAGACGGAAAGACCCCGUGAACCUUUACUAUAGCUUGACACUGAACAUUGAGCCUUGAUGUGUAGGAUAGGUGGGAGGCUUUGAAGCGUGGACGCCAGUCUGCGUGGAGCCAACCUUGAAAUACCACCCUUUAAUGUUUGAUGUUCUAACGUUGGCCCCUGACCGGGGUUGCGGACAGUGUCUGGUGGGUAGUUUGACUGGGGCGGUCUCCUCCCAAAGCGUAACGGAGGAGCACGAAGGUUAGCUAAUCCUGGUCGGACAUCAGGAGGUUAGUGCAAUGGCAUAAGCUAGCUUGACUGCGAGCGUGACGGCGCGAGCAGGUGCGAAAGCAGGUCAUAGUGAUCCGGUGGUUCUGAAUGGAAGGGCCAUCGCUCAACGGAUAAAAGGUACUCCGGGGAUAACAGGCUGAUACCGCCCAAGAGUUCAUAUCGACGGCGGUGUUUGGCACCUCGAUGUCGGCUCAUCACAUCCUGGGGCUGAAGUAGGUCCCAAGGGUAUGGCUGUUCGCCAUUUAAAGUGGUACGCGAGCUGGGUUUAGAACGUCGUGAGACAGUUCGGUCCCUAUCUGCCGUGGGCGCUGGAGAAUUGAGGGGGGCUGCUCCUAGUACGAGAGGACCGGAGUGGACGCAUCACUGGUGUUCGGGUUGUCAUGCCAAUGGCACUGCCCGGUAGCUAAAUGCGGAAGAGAUAAGUGCUGAAAGCAUCUAAGCACGAAACUUGCCCCGAGAUGAGUUCUCCCUGAGACUUUAAGUCUCCUGAAGGAACGUUAAAGACGAUGACGUUGAUAGGCCGGGUGUGUAAGCGCAGCGAUGCGUUGAGCUAACCGGUACUAAUGAACCGUGAGGCUUAACCUUACAACGCCGAAG